rnacentral:rRNA from 1 species
UACAGAGGUCUCGAGCGUUAGGCGGAAUCACUGGGCUUAAAGCGUGUGUAGGCGGAGUGCUAAGUACCUUGUGAAAUCCCACGGCUUAACCGUGGAACUGCUUGGUAUACUGGUUCUCUUGAGCCACCUAGGGGCGAGCGGAACAAAUGGUGGAGCGGUGAAAUGCGCAGAUAUCAGGAGGAACACCAAUGGCGAAGGCAGCUCGCUGGGACGUGACUGACGCUGAGACGCGAAAGCGUGGGGAGCAAACAGG